UUUUGCCAAGGACAAGCAAUUGUGUUGCGGUGCAAGUGAUAAUAAGAAGAUUCUGGUGAGAAAUUCCAGUUUCCACCGGUGCUGCGGGCACAACCAGUAUGAUAACAGGACUCAGUGCUGCUGUGAGAAUGAAGGUGUUCUGGAGGUACAACCGAAGGAUUCAUCUUGCUGUGACAAGAGCUCCACUACAGUAUCUGAUUCGUUUUCACAGGAGUGCAUAAUGUAGGAAUUCUGCAUUGUGGUCCGAAUGAUAAUAAGAAGAGUCUGGUGAAGAAUUCCACUUUCCACCAGUGCUGCGGUCACAACCAGUAUGACAACAGGACUCAGUGCUGCUGUGUGAAUGAAGGUGUUCUGGAGGUACAACCGAAGCAUUCAUCUUGCUGUGACAAGAGCUCCACUACAGGAGUGCAUAAUGUAGGAAUUCUGCAUUGUGGUCCGAAUGAUAAUAAGAAGAGUCUGGUGAGAAAUUCCACUUUCCACCGGUGCUGCGGUCACCACCAGUAUGACAACAGGACUCAGUGCUGCUGUGAGAAUGAAGGUGUUCUGGAGGUACAACCGAAGCAUUCAUCUUGCUGUGACAAGAGCUCCACUACAGGAGUGCAUAAUGUAGGAAUUCUGCAUUGUGGUCCGAAUGAUAAUAAGAAGAGUCUGGUGAAGAAUUCCACUUUCCACCAGUGCUGCGGUCACCACCAGUAUGACAACAGGACUCAGUGCUGCUGUGAGAAUGAAGGUGUUCUGGAGGUACAACCGAAGCAUUCAUCUUGCUGUGACAAGAGCUCCACUACAGGAGUGCAAAAUGUGGGAAUUCUGCAUUGUGGUCCGAAUGAUAAUAAGAAGAGUCUGGUGAGGAAUUCCACUUUCCACCAGUGCUGCGGUCACCACCAGUAUGACAACAGGACUCAGUGCUGCUGUGAGAAUGAAGGUUUUCUGGAGGUACAACCGAAGCAUUCAUCUUGCUGUGCAAAGGAGUCAGCUAACCCUGAAGGUUUUCAACAACUGACACAUGAGCUCCAACACUUUUGCACUGAACCAAACACACAUCUCUGUGGGUCGACAUGUUACAAUCCAAAGACGCAUCGUUGCUGUGAGAGACACCAAAAGCCUUUUUGGUUCUGCGCCUCAGUUUUAUGGCAGCCCGGGACAACACUGCUGUGGGACGGAAAUUUACCGGCCUCGUACUGAGAUCUGCUGCAAUGGACACAGACACCCCAAAUCAGAAAACCUUCACUGCUGUGGGGUCAAAGCCUACAACAUUAAAGACCCACAGAUGAAGUGCUGUGCAGGAACACUGUACAAUCUGACAUCAUUAGACAAGCAUGGAGGGGACGCUCAGUGCUGCGGAUCCAUCCUGCAAAAGCCACAGGAUAUUUGCUGCUCAAGCCAGGAAAAAGAGGUGCUUUACUCUGUCAAGACAGGAUUUGGAUGCUGUGGUCACCUCUAUUACAACACCAGCCUGUGCUCAUGCUGUGCGGAGAGGCUGAGAAGAAUCCAUGAACCAGGAAAGGAUCAGAGAAACAUGAUGCAUGGAUCCAGACUUCUAUCUUUGAAUAAUCUAAACACAAGUGAUCUCUGCAAAGAAAUGUACAUUGGGACUGUGGAAAGUGUGUCUGUGAAGAGCGUUGUGUUCAGGAAUGUGCUAUGGGUUCAUGGGAAAUAUUCCAACGUGACAGCUCUGCCUUUGCAUCACAUCUUGGACAUAGAUGAUCACUGCAAAUCACCUAAACUGUUUCUUGGGAAGACCUACAUCUUUAACAACGUUAAUAUUUUCACUGAUUUCAACCAUGACUCUGUUCUUCAGUCGCUCCAUUUCAUUUUUUAUAAAUGUUCAUCUUAGAUCACCACUGUCUGAUCUAUGUAUGGUCAGUUAUUAGCUAUUCCCUUGUUUUUGUCUUAGAACAAGUAAUUAAUUUUUAUUUACUCAGUGCUGGUUUUCUUACUCUAAAAUAGUGCUACACUAAGAGUAAUGCAUAGGGGUUUUUUAUCCUCAGAAGAAUGUACUGUUAAAGUACUCAUUACAGGGAUGUUCUCUUACAUGGUCUAUUAACAAUAUAACACUGAACCUUAGAAAUGCCCAUUAAUUUGUAAAACUCUACCCUAAAAGGAAAGACCAUUGAAGCUUAACAUUUGGGCACUUUGCUGGUGUAAGCAUAAAAUCAAAGAACCAGCCAUAUUUCUAUCACACAUUUUAUUUUUACAUUAGUUAUUGUUGUGCAAGCACACAUGAAAAUGUUUUAAAAUGUGAUCUUUUUAAUCUUUUUGUUACCUAAAUAAUUGAAGAACAUGUAACUCAAUUGAAUUAAUUCAUUAACUGAAAUAUGUUUACUCAAUAAUGCAUUAUAGAAAAAAUUAACUUGAUUAGGGAUUGCAUUACUUUUCAACUGUUUAAAUUUAAAAAAUCCAGAAUUAGUUAUUAGUGAUAUUACUUACAAGUUGCUAUCAGUAAUGCAUUAAAUGUUCAACGCUCAUUUCCAUCCAAACCAUGUUGCUCUGUUUUUGAACGCAUCCCAAAAUGUGUGCUCGGUAAUUACUACUGUUACACAGCUAAUUAGUGCACAGUGUUGUUAACUUAUACAUGCAGUAAUGCAAUAUGACCAUUAUCUUUCAAAGUCUUAAAAAGCUAAAGUAGUAACUAGGAUAUCCAAGCUAGUGUUGGUUUGAAAUUAACAGUAGCUAACACCUUAGCUAUCAGUGUAACAGGAAGCAAGGCAUGCAAGAAUGUUAGCAUACAGCUUAACGGUCACAUAAGCUAAACUGCUAUCAGCUAAUAUUGUUUGUCAUUUGAAAUUUUUGUGACUGUUAUUUCUAUGCCUCUUUUUUGCACUGAACUAAAUUGUAAAUGGCAACUAUUUGCACUUUUUGAACCAUACAAUUGAAUGUAUAAAUGUACUGUAAAGCAUGAUUUAUUUGAAAGAUAAAGCUUGUAACUGUCAAAUGGUUAGUUGACAAUACCAUUAUUAUAAGCACCCCAGUUCUCACUGAUCCCUCUAAAAAUGCAAUAUUUCUGUUUCUUUGUAAGUACCUACUUUUAAUCACCUUGACCCAAGUUAUUUUUAUAUAUGUGACUUUCGGGAAGAUGUUUGGCAUUUAUUGUACUGUGUCUUUACUAAAUUGGUAAGAACAUACCUUUAAGCUACUAACAGGACAAGCUCAUGAUAUACAGUAUAUAUAUUAUAUAUUAUAUUGCAUGUUUAUAUUUAAUAUUUAAUAGCACCUCCUGUAUUAUUAAGUUUUAAAUAAAUAAGAAGAUAAGAAUAAUUGAAUGUGUGUGUGAUUUUUUUUAUUACUUUUAUUACUUAUUAUUUUAUUUAUUACUUUAUUACUUUUUAUUACAUAACAAUUUAUUGGACUAUAUAUACAUAACUAUUACUACAUUUUAUAUACACAUUGUUUAUUUGUAUAUUUGUAGAUAUUCAACAGAAUUAGAUAAUAAAUCAAUACUCUGUGCUUAUUUUUCUUACUUUACUUUACGGAUACCCAUAUGGAUACCACAUACCCAAAACAUACUAGGGAGUGCAUAAUUUUUUCAUUUUUUGGUUUGUUUGUUUUUUUUGCUCUUUUUAAAAUUCUUUAUAAAACACAAUGUCAUCGGAUUUGAUUUAAGGUCCAGAUUUUUCCUUGGGAUUUAAUGUUGCAGUCACAUGCUGCUGUUCAACCAUUUAGAAACAUCUCAUUAUAUUUAAUACAUUACACUGGGUUAUAUGUUGUAGAUGUAGAUCUUGUGGCUCGAGCAUGCUCCCCUCCAGCUACAGGACUUUACAGGACUACCUGGAGACCUUCACUCUGUCUGUCCUUUUCUACUCUAAGUGGUGUGUAGUGAAUGUGACAGUGACCAAAACCACCUGAGUUCUUCCUAACCGGAAACCCUGGAAGACGAAUGAAGAACAGGCUCUGAUCAGAACUCGAAACACAGCCUUCAGGCUGGGGGACAGUUCUCUGGAGAGCACUGCCAGAGCCAACCCGAGGAGGGGCAUCAAACAAGCCAAGGAGACCUCCAGGAGAAGGAUUAAGGGCUUCCAGACAGACAACCACCGCCAAGUGUAGAGAGGCAGUCAAGCCCUCACCAAC
ensembl:lncRNA